rnacentral:rRNA from 1 species
UACGAAGGGGGCUAGCGUUGUUCGGAAUUACUGGGCGUAAAGCGCGCGCAGGCGGUCCUUCAAGUCAGAGGUGAAAGCCCAGAGCUCAACUCCAGAACUGCCUUUGAUACUGAAGAUCUUGAGUUCGGGAGAGGUGAGUGGAACUGCGAGUGUAGAGGUGAAAUUCGUAGAUAUUCGCAAGAACACCAGUGGCGAAGGCGGCUCACUGGCCCGAUACUGACGCUGAGGCACGAAAGCGUGGGGAGCAAACAGG